GAGGGGAUAUGUUAGAGGGGAUAUCGUGCCCCCGGUGAGAAGAGGACACCCAAAUUUGUGUGUGUACCUGGGGGUGUGCGUGGCAAUCCCACAUUUUAAGUGGCUGCUGUAUAUAGGCUGUGUGGCAUCUAUAUAGGCAGGCCAGGCCAGGGGGGAACACUUUGAUCGGGAUGUGCAGAAAGCCAGAAGCUGUCCAGGGGUGUUGGAUGGGGUGGGAGGAUUUGCGAGACCCUCGUGUGGUGUUUGGAGCACGGGGAUUGAGCCGGGAGAUGCGACCGUGCCGGCUGGAGCUGGGGGUGCAGAGGGAGUUGGGCACGCACGGAGGAAGCUGCUAAUUUUCCACAAUGCCACUGAAAAUGAAGCCAGGGUCACUGCAGAAAAAAAAAAAAAAGAAAAAAAAGAAAAAAAAAGAAAAAAAAUUGAAACAAACAUCAAAAAAAAAACAACAACGCAAACUCUGUCUGCUUUUGCUGGGGCUUGGAAAUGCCUUAAAACAGGACGUCGCGUCCUCGUGGUCGAGCAUCUUGAACCAAGGUUGGAUUCAGCAGUGCUCCCUAGGGGCCAUGCACUUAACUUGGGCUUUAUUUUUAAUAGCAUUUAUAUCAUGUAUGUACAUAAAAACAAAACAGACAUUGAAGUUUGUUUUUUUUUUUUUUUUUUUUUUUUUUUAAAUUUCGAUGUCCACGUGGCUUCAUUUAUAGGGUAAAUUAAUGACCGUUGUGAACUGCUGUAUGAAUUCUGAAGGGCAAUGCACAGUAGAGGAGCAGCAUGAUAUAACCAUUACUAACUUGUGUCUUUCGUCAAUCACCAUGAAAUAAAGUUUGAGAACUAUUAAAGAUGUUUUUAAGGGGCCUGGUGCUUUUUUAUUCCUUCCCGUGCGCCCUGCUUGCUCCCUAUCCGUGCAGGUGCCUGCUGUGUUUCCUCCAUCCUGUCUUUGGGGCUGCCACCCAGUGCUCGUAGCCAGAGAUUUUGGGGCUUUAUCCUCCUCUCACCAUCUGAUUUUACUCCGUGUCCACCUGUCCGAAUACUCCCUAGCUUCUCCUUCCUUGCCACGCAUGCUUUUAUUCCCUCUUGGGCUGCAAUUUCAGCAGGGGUUCGGCACGGCACUGUGCCCGCACGCCCCAAGCGCUGCUCCCGCAGCCCCCCUCUCCCCACCAGCCCU
rnacentral:lncRNA from 1 species